UUGGUCUUUGGUUAGUUCUCAAAGCAUAUGUCGUUCAUCAUACAUGCAAACUAUCGGCUCUCUUGGAUGUUGAUUGAGAUGAUACAUCGUAAACAUAUUUACCAUCUAAAUAUUAAUCAAUUUAAAUGAAUCCUUACCUAACAGGGGGGGAAGGGAUGGAUCAAAGAACGCUUAUUUACGGACUUCACCGAAAGUCAUCACUUAUAUUGGAGGGACAGAGAAGGAAGGGAUAGAUCAAAUAUAAGGCAAAAAAAAAAACACACAAUGUCGCAAAUAUUUAGCUCUUUGUUGUAUCUCUUCUUUCCCUUAUCUUUUUUGGAGUUGGGACAAAUAAAAACAUGCUUUAUUAUAUGCUUUGCAAUGCAUAGGCAAGGCAUCACCAUAUGUAAGGCUUGAUAAUAAGUCCAUGUCCAAGAUCAAUAGAUAAAUGUAAAUAAAAUCCCUAGCCUUAUAUUAAUUGAUUUAUUUUUGUUGGAGAAGGAGUUCAAAGAUGAGAAUAACGAAAAAGGCAAAUGCAGAAUGGCCAUGUUUUCCUCCAAUCAAUCUUUUGAUGGGUGAGCUACACACUGAAUAUCACACACAUUUCAAAUUAGUUAGUUUGCGUGUGAGAAAUGUCCAUGAUUGAGAGGGGUUAAUAGAUUGUAAGGAAUUUCGAAGCUUUUUCGCUAAUAACUGUUGGAUUGCAUGUGGAACGCACGUUAGCGUUGAUGCUGUAAAAACACUAAUGUGUAUACAGAAAUAAUAAUCUUCUAACAAAGGAGAUUAAGGGAUAG